AUUACUUCUCAGCCUUUUGGCUAAGAUCAAGUGUAGUAUCUGUUCUUUUCUGUUUAAUAUUUGAUACCCACUCGGCUCCCUCUGCUCAGGGACAACAGAUUAAAUGGAAUUUUGGAGCAGGGGGGGUGGACUAAGUAUCUUGCUCAACCACAGUACACAUUGACCUGGUAUUGCUAAGUGUUGAAUUUCCCUCU